GACAGAGGGGGCAAGCGUUGCUCGGAAUCACUGGGGCGUAAAGGGGCGCGUAGGCGGGAUGGCAAGUCAGUCGUGAAAUCUCUCGGCUCAACCGAGAAACGUCGGCUGAUACUGCCGUUCUUGAGGGAUGCAGAGGAGACUGGAAUUCCCGGUGUAGCGGUGAAAUGUGUAGAGAUCGGGAGGAACACCGGUGGCGAAGGCGGGUCUCUGGGCAUCUCCUGACGCUGAGGCGCGAAAGCGUGGGGAGCAAACGGGG
rnacentral:rRNA from 1 species